rnacentral:misc_RNA from 1 species
GAUGAAGAACCUAGCGAAAUGCGAUAAGUAAUGUGAAUUGCAGAAUUCAGUGAACCAUCGAAUCUUUGAACGCACAUUGCGCCCGGCAGUAAUCUGCCGGGCAUGCCUGUCCGAGCGUCAUUUCUACCCUCGAGCGAGUCCAGCAUCUAGGUGCUGGGCCUCGCCCGGCGUUGGAGCACUACGGGAAGCCCUGUGCUGUCCCCCGUAGGCCCCGAAAUGAAGUGGCGGUCCUGCCGCGGCGCCCCCUGCGUAGUAUAACAGCUCGCUUCGGGACCCGGUGGAGGCCUGCCGUCAAACCUAUACUCUCUAAGUUUGACCUCGGAUCAGGUAGGGUUACCCGCUGAACUUAAGCAUAUCAAUAAGCGGAGGA